rnacentral:lncRNA from 1 species
GCUCGCCUUCCUUGUUAUGUUAAUUAUCAAUGAACCUGUGUAAAGUGGAAGCCAUACUAUCCAUUCAGUCAGAUUGAGUGAGCGAUGGAUACAGUCCUUAAGAAAGGUACCUGGAUGGACCACGUUUUCUUUCAUUUACUCGAGACGCGCCAGACGGUUCCUGCCGUGUCAUGGUCCUUUCUUCUAUCGCUACAGCAGAAAGCAUGGGCAUUAUGGGCCCAGGGGGCUCCUGUACCUGCCAGGGGUUUGCUGGUGGAGGCCCGCCGUGUCCUCGGAGGGUGAGGCGUGUCAGCCACAGACUUCUGUCCCAGCUGUGGAUGAGUGUCCUGGGCUCCAUCAGACUCUCUCGCCAGCUGGAGGGCAUCCUGGCUUCCGCCCGCCUUUGUGUCCACGUACCAGCGAUGUGGGGAGUGGCUCUGGGACGCGUGACAGCCCCACAGCAGCAACACUCAGUUUCCCUGUGUCCUCAUCCUCACCUUCUUGGUACUCAGUGGACGGCAGAGCGUCUGGCUGACCAGCUCCUUCUCCUCAGCUGAGAGGCACCAGCGAGGUGACUUCCGGGUGAAUUGGCACACGUUGAGGUGUCUGUGGCAGCAACACCUGGCUGUGACCUGAUUUCCGGAGAUAAAAAACAAUGCUCCCUGGAGACCUGAAAAACCCAUAUCUGAUACGAAAAUUUCUCUGGAUCCGGCCAAGAGCAGACGGGAGUUGGUCUGUGAACCUGAAGCUGGACACAAAAUAUUCAACCUAAAGAAUGUGAAAAAAAUAGAAAGCAGUGAACAGAGUCCGGACCUUGGGCAAUAAAUCUGUGAACCACCGUUCCCAG